AAAACGAUAUGCAGGCUAAUUCUGCGUUGGGAGAGGAUCGGGUAAGGUACACAUGGAAAUAAGGUAGUUGUAGUAGAUUAUGUGCAACCCAUAUAGUUUUGACAUGUGAGUAUUUUAGAAACGGACAAUUAAUGGAUAUCAAGAAAAUUAUAAAAAGAAUGAAAAUCCGCAUUAACAUAUCAACAAUGAUAAUACACGUGAAAGGAAUAAACGUUAGUAAUAAGAAAAAUAAAAAUCUUUGUCCACGAACUAUUCAAUCACGAAGAGAGGACCAAGAAGAUACUACCCACAUACACAUCCACAAAUUCAGGAGUUGCUUUAUGACAGAUGUUAAUGACAGAUGUCAGCACGAUGGCAUUACAUUUUCAGAAGUAGGAGUGUGCCAAGUGUAUGCAUAUCGGCUUCUCGGAGAACAUGUGUCCAUUCUGAGAAAUGGCAUAGUACAUGGAAACGUAGUACUCAGUGCAAUCACUC
rnacentral:lncRNA from 1 species